rnacentral:rRNA from 1 species
UGGGGAAUAUUGCACAAUGGGCGCAAGCCUGAUGCAGCCAUGCCGCGUGUAUGAAGAAGGCCUUCGGGUUGUAAAGUACUUUCAGCGAGGAGGAAGGCGUUGUGGUUAAUAACCGCAACGAUUGACGUUACUCGCAGAAGAAGCACCGGCUAACUCCGUGCCAGCAGCCGCGGUAAUACGGAGGGUGCAAGCGUUAAUCGGAAUUACUGGGCGUAAAGCGCACGCAGGCGGUCUGUCAAGUCGGAUGUGAAAUCCCCGGGCUAAACCUGGGAACUGCAUCCGAAACUGGCAGGCUAGAGUCUUGUAGAGGGGGGUAGAAUUCCAGGUGUAGCGGUGAAAUGCGUAGAGAUCUGGAGGAAUACCGGUGGCGAAGGCGGCCCCCUGGACAAAGACUGACGCUCAGGUGCGAAAGCGUGGGGAGCAAACA